rnacentral:lncRNA from 1 species
AGAGUUCGAUCGCAGCUGCCCUUUUUUUCUUUGCUUUUCCAAACAAACCGUUGAUCUGUUUGUGCUCUUGGUUUAGAGUCUUGUAUACAACUUCUUGCCUUAACAAUGCUUUAUGCGUAGCGUUUAUCUAAUAAAAAAUUUUAUAAGAACUUAAGAGGCGUUCAUGAUUUAGGUUUUACUUUGUUUUUGAUUUCUAUUAACACAC